rnacentral:misc_RNA from 1 species
AACGCACCUUGCGCCCCUUGGCAUUCCGAGGGGCACACCCGUUUGAGUGUCGUGAACAUCCUCAACCUGCUUGGUUUUACCGAACCAAGUAGGCUUGGGAAUUUGGAGGUUUUCUGCUGGCCUCCUCUGAAGCCAGCUCCUCUUAAAUCUAUUAGUGGGAUCCGCUUUGCUAGAUCCUCGACGUUGAUAAGAUGUUUCUACGUCUUGGGUUUUGCUCGGGAAAGGACCUGCUUCUAACCGUCCCCAUCAGGGACAUUGUUCGAGCCGAUCGCCCUUCACGGGGUGGGAAGCUUUUCGACCCAUGAAACCUUGACCUCAAAUCGGGUGAGACCACCCGCUGAACUUAA